UACGUAGGGUGCGAGCGUUGCCCGGAUUUACUGGGCGUAAAGAGCGCGCAGGCGGUCGUUCAAGUCGCGUGUGAAAGCCCCCGGCUCAACUGGGGAGGGUCACGCGAUACUGAUCGACUCGAAGGCAGGAGAGGGAAGUGGAAUUCCCGGUGUAGUGGUGAAAUGCGCAGAUAUCAGGAGGAACACCGGUGGCGAAGGCGGGUCUCUGGGCCGAUACUGACGCUGAGGAGCGAAAGCGUGGGGAGCGAACAGG
rnacentral:rRNA from 1 species